rnacentral:rRNA from 1 species
AUUGAACGCUGGCGGCAUGCCUUACACAUGCAAGUCGAACGGCAGCGCGGGAGCAAUCCUGGCGGCGAGUGGCGAACGGGUGAGUAAUAUAUCGGAACGUGCCCAGUAGUGGGGGAUAGCCCGGCGAAAGCCGGAUUAAUACCGCAUACGACCUACGGGUGAAAGGGGGGGAUCGCAAGACCUCUCGCUAUUGGAGCGGCCGAUAUCAGAUUAGGUAGUUGGUGGGGUAAAGGCCUACCAAGCCUGCGAUCUGUAGUUGGUCUGAGAGGACGACCAGCCACACUGGGACUGAGACACGGCCCAGACUCCUACGGGAGGCAGCAGUGGGGAAUUUUGGACAAUGGGCGCAAGCCUGAUCCAGCAAUGCCGCGUGCAGGAAGAAGGCCUUCGGGUUGUAAACUGCUUUUGUCAGGGAAGAAAUCCUCUAGGCUAAUACCUUGGGGGGAUGACGGUACCUGAAGAAUAAGCACCGGCUAACUACGUGCCAGCCGCCGCGGUAACAC